UACGAAGGGGACUAGCGUUGUUCGGAAUUACUGGGCGUAAAGCGCACGUAGGCGGAUUUAUAAGUCAGGGGUGAAAUCCCGGGGCUCAACCUCGGAACUGCCUUUGAUACUGUAGAUCUCGAGUCCGAUAGAGGUGGGUGGAAUUCCUAGUGUAGAGGUGAAAUUCGUAGAUAUUAGGAAGAACACCGGUGGCGAAGGCGGCCCACUGGAUCGGUACUGACGCUGAGGCGCGACAGCGUGGGGAGCAAACAGG
rnacentral:rRNA from 1 species